rnacentral:rRNA from 1 species
UAUUGGACAAUGGGGGGAACCCUGAUCCAGCGACGCCGCGUGAGUGAAGAAGUAUCUCGGGAUGUAAAGCUCUAUCAGCAGGGAAGAAAGAAAUGACGGUACCUGACUAAGAAGCCGUCACUAACUACGUGCCAGCAGCCGCGGUAAUACGUAGGGGGCAAGCGUUAUCCGGAUUUAUUGGGUGUAAAGGGAGCGUAGACGGCGAUGCAAGUCUGAAGUGAAAGGCGGGGGCCCAACCCCCGGACUGCUUUGGAAACUGUAUGGCUGGAGUGCAGGAGAGGUAAGUGGAAUUCCUAGUGUAGCGGUGAAAUGCGUAGAUAUUAGGAGGAACACCAGUGGCGAAGGCGGCUUACUGGACUGUAACUGACGUUGAGGCUCGAAAGCGUGGGGAGCAAACAAG